AAAGCUGCGUUCGUUCGAUAAAGACUAUUUUGAUGCAAAAGCCGAUUCUAAGAUUACUUAUGAUUAAGUGCAGUUUACGUUUAAACACAGUUAGCGUCUAAACGCAGUUUGCGUCUAAAUGCAUAUUGCGUCUAAACUCAGAUUGCGUCUAAGCGCAGUUUGCGUCUUAGCGCAGAUUGUGUCUAAGCGCAGAUUGCGUCUAAACGCAGAUUGCGUCUAAGCGCAGAUUGCGUCUAAACACAGUUUGCGUCUAGGAGCAGUUUAAGCAGAAGUAUAAAGACAAUGUGCUGCUGUUGUACAGCUCAAAAAGUAAUC
rnacentral:lncRNA from 1 species